GAUGAACGCUGGCGGCGUGCCUAAUACAUGCAAGUCGAGCGAACAGACGAGGAGCUUGCUCCUCUGACGUUAGCGGCGGACGGGUGAGUAACACGUGGAUAACCUACCUAUAAGACUGGGAUAACUUCGGGAAACCGGAGCUAAUACCGGAUAAUAUAUUGAACCGCAUGGUUCAAUAGUGAAAGACGGUUUUGCUGUCACUUAUAGAUGGAUCCGCGCCGCAUUAGCUAGUUGGUAAGGUAACGGCUUACCAAGGCGACGAUGCGUAGCCGACCUGAGAGGGUGAUCGGCCACACUGGAACUGAGACACGGUCCAGACUCCUACGGGAGGCAGCAGUAGGGAAUCUUCCGCAAUGGGCGAAAGCCUGACGGAGCAACGCCGCGUGAGUGAUGAAGGUCUUCGGAUCGUAAAACUCUGUUAUUAGGGAAGAACAAAUGUGUAAGUAAAUAUGCACGUCCUGACGGUACCUAAUCAGAAAGCAACGGCUAACUACGU
rnacentral:rRNA from 1 species